UUUCCAAAAAUUUUACUGGUUCCUGAAUGUAAAUCAUACCUACACAAAAGAAAAUAUGAAGGGUCGUGCAUAGAACAAAAAAGUUACAAAGAAAACAUGUAAAUAUGCAUCAUGUUAUGAUGUAAUCAAAUCUGGCCUGAAGCAAAAUACGUAUGUGAUGAAUGAACCCAGUAGUGUAACAAAAAGGUACAUGAUCAGUUAAUCACUAAAAGGGGAAUUGGCUUGUAAUAAUCCUAUCUAGACCUUAUUGGCCAAUUUCCCAUCACUAAAAUAUAUGUUCAACGUUCACCAUUGAGUACCGACCAAAUAUAUAAGGAAAAGAAUAUAAAGUUAUAAGUCAUAACCAGUCAUAUCUUGUUAGUGAUUAAUAGAUAUAAAAUCAAUAUACUGAUAGAACACUUCCAUAGAAACAACAAUCAAAAUUCAAUUAUAAAAAUGUGACAACAAGAUUCACUACUUCCAUAGAACACUUGAGUUCGGACCUUCAAGGUCAAACAUAUAAAUUCAACUCAGUUGCAUUAUUUCUAGAUUUUGAGCAUUAUAUUUGACUUGUCAACUAAAUUUAAUUAAACAGUGUAAACCUGAAAACAAACCUAGUUAUUGAACAAUCAGAACCAGUACUAAAUGCAGCCGCCUCCCCUUGGAAACAACAAUCCAGAAGCUCAGCAUUUCCGGAAGCUUCAAAAGAGAUUGUUGGAUGCUGGAGCGAAGCGAAUUCUGGAAAUAGCGUCUUGA
rnacentral:lncRNA from 1 species